rnacentral:ncRNA from 2 species
AAGACCAUACUUUCAGGGGUCAUUUCUAUAGUUUGUUACUGGAGAAGUUUUUCUGAUCAUGUACAGUACCAAUAAAAU